ACUGCCUUUAAUCCUCUUGCAAAAAAAAUGUUGAGAUUCAGGUAACAGAAAAAGGAACAAAUGAAGAGGAAGAGGCAUGAAACACCUUUAAAUGACAUGCCUUUUAUUCCCUCUAAAAUAAGUCUCUAUAAAUCACUCCAGGGAACUCUCCCAUUUUUCUUUUGGGUUCUCAACUCCAAUACUCUUCUCCUCCAUUUUCUUAUUGCAUUGGAAUAAGAAAUAUUCUUUUGUUCUUUCCCAUUUUCUCCUAGGAGGACGAAGUGGGAGGAUCACUCAAGGCCAGCAGUUUAGGACUAACCUGGACAUCAUAGCAAUAGCUUAUUCUCUUUUUCCUUCGCAGGCAUCCCUUCCUCUAAUUGCCCCUAAAAUGCUGACAUUUAUGUGGGUUCUGUCCUCAGCUACUUUGACUCUGUAAACUUCUUCAAUACAAACUACAUAUGUCACAUUCUUAAUUAGAAUGAUUUCAUGACUUCUCAUUACUCUUCAUAUAAAGUCCAAAUUUAAAAGAUGCUCCACAAUCUGUCUCCUGAUUGUUUCUUCCAUCUCAUUUCAUAGUCCACUUCUCGUGAAAUACCAAGAUCCAGAGAAAAUGGUUUUUCCAAAGAUUUGUGCACACUAAGUUCUUUCUCUUGCCUUGACAGCUUUGCAAAUGUCAUUCCUUCAGCCUUUUUCUUGGGUAACUCUUAUUCACCAUUUGGGUCUGAGCAUAACUUCCUCUGGAAGUCUUCUUCCACACAUUGAUCUUCAAGUGAGUUAAAUCCCCUUCUGUGCAUUCCCAUAGCAUCUAUAUUAUCUCUGUCAAACACUUCAUUCUAACUAUUUGUUUAAUUAUGUCUUCAUCAUCAGGCUUUUUAAGAUUUAUCAUAGUAGAGACUCUGUCUUGCUCAUUGAACAAGAAUAGUGCCCCCAUACAGUCACACUUAAUAAAUAUGAAUGAAUGAAUCAUAUGGUCUCAAUUCCACUUAUAUAACAAUGACUCCCGCCUUGGCCUCCCAGAGUGCUGGGAUUACAGGCAUGAGCCACCACACCCGGCCUGAGAAGUCUUAAUAGUUAAACUAUAAAUUGAUACAUUUUUGUUUAGAGUCGGGUAAAAACGUUGCUGACAAUUGUUUUCUGGAUGGUUUUGCCUCUAAUUAGUGAGUGAUUAUUCACAAUGUCUAGUUUAUCAGUAAACUUCAAAUCUUCCUGGGUCUGAAGGUUUUCAUUCCAAACCUUUAAAACAGGGGCCAGCUUUUAAUCUGAAUCAGAGUCAGCCAAAGAAAAUAGUAGAGUAAGCAGGUCCUAGACAGUUAACACAUAACAUUAUACAGCUAUGGGCAGUCCCAACAGUUCCUGAAAGGAUUAAAAAAAAGAGAACCAGUCACAGAUCCAAAUAUUUCAGCUUUAGAAAUUUAUUUCAGCAUGGACAUCUGAGUCCUGCAGCUGCUGUGUAUGGUCUUUUGUGUGAUCACAGGUGUUGGCUGUACUAUGAGAGCACAUAAUGGCAGAUGACAAGGCAAGCAUAGUAGGGACUGCCAGCCCCAGGAGGUAAUGCCAAGUUUAAUACUGAAAGUAAAACAUAUGCAUGUGCCAGUUUUCUUCUAAAUGCAUUUAUAUUGAAGAAAAACAAAGCUAUCUUCUAAAAAAAAACAUCUGUGUAUGGAUAAAGGAUGAUAUUGGCAUAAAAAUAGUAGCACUUAAAAAUUAAGAUUUGGUUUAAAAACUGGAGAAAAUAAAGUGAUAAAAUCAGGCAGUCACAUCAAGAAACAAUCAUUU
rnacentral:lncRNA from 1 species